rnacentral:rRNA from 1 species
CGGCGGACGGCUGAGUAACGCGUAGGAACGUACCCCAAAGUGAGGGAUAAGCACCAGAAAUGGUGUCUAAUACCGCAUGUGCUCUACGGAGUAAAGCUUCGGCGCUUUGGGAACGGCCUGCGUCCGAUUAGCUUGUUGGUGAGGUAAAAGCUCACCAAGGCGACGAUCGGUAGCUGGUCUGAGAGGAUGAUCAGCCAGACUGGGACUGAGACACGGCCCAG